AGUUGUCAGUUUGACAUUACGUUAAUAAAUAUUUAUUUUUUCGUUUCGUAUGCAAAUGCUUAUAUUUCAGGGUCUGAGAGUUCGUAUUUGGUGAAUACUUACUGAAAAUGGUGAAUUAUUGUUGCGUUACUGGGUGUGGGCGUCAUAGUAGAAAAAAUAAGCUAUUGAAUUAUUACUGUUUGCCAAAAGAAGUAGAAAGGCAAAUCGUAUGGCUGAAAGCGGCCAGCAGAGAAGAUUUAUUGGCAAAAAAGCCAGAAAUCCGUAUGAAGUAUUACAGAUUUUGUUCUCGUCACUUUGCCCCUGCUAGUAUAAAGAAUAAACAUUUGUGCUCCGACGCGGUUCCCACUUUACAUCUGCCUGGAAGCUUGAAAGAAGGUGAAUCAGAUGAUGAGGAGCAGGUAUCUCACGAGAACAUUGUGUGUAAUAGCUGCCACAACACUAUAUUUGGGUUCCGUACAAGUGCAUCACAUGUGCUGAUUAUGAUCUCUGUCCCAAGUGUGAGAUGCUGGAAGUCCACUCAGAGCACUACCUUAUCAGGAUUCCCAAAAAGAUGAAGUUUAAACUUGCUGAUGAUUUGGCCAGACGAUGGCAGAAGUUCUUCAAAUCUGAACAUGUCACUCCAGACAGCAGUGCUAUCAUUUGUGAAGAAAGCAGUGAUGAUGAACCCAUCACGAAGUACGUCAAAAACUAUGAUACCGGCAUUGAAUUAACUGAGGAAAUAAAGAAUAAGAUACGUAAUGAAGUGACAAGAAUACUGGACAUCCCAUUGAACACUCCAAAUCCUGAAAAUAAGAAUAAGAAGAAGAGAGUAGUUAAGAAGAGACCAGCACCAGAAGUAGAGGGCAAGUAAGAAACAGAAGAUUGAUGAUGCUGGAGUGGUGCCAGAGGUUGCGUUUGCUGAUGUUAAUGAGUUGAAUAAUCAGGCUAUGGAUGUUAAACUAGAGAUACCUGAGACAUUUGUACCAGUUCCUGUAGAGCCUCAACAACCAAUGCUGCACAUGAAAGUCAGUGAUGACCUCACAGAGCUCAUGAUCGAAAUGAACGACCAGAAAACUAUUUAUAAGUUUUAGGGAUGGCCACUUUUUUUUUCAUUUAAAUGUAUAACGUGAAUAAUUGUUUUAUCAAACACAAUAAAAAAAUAUCCUCAUCUAAU
rnacentral:lncRNA from 1 species